rnacentral:rRNA from 1 species
UACGUAGGGGGCAAGCGUUAUCCGGAUUUACUGGGUGUAAAGGGAGCGUAGACGGUUAAGCAAGUCUGGAGUGAAAGGCGGGGGCUCAACCCCCGGACUGCUCUGGAAACUGUAUAACUAGAGUGCAGGAGGGGUAAGUGGAAUUCCUAGUGUAGCGGUGAAAUGCGUAGAUAUUAGGAGGAACACCAGUGGCGAAGGCGGCUUACUGGACUGUAACUGACGUUGAGGCUCGAAAGCGUGGGGAGCAA